UAGAAUUCCCCCAACUGGUGGACGCAUUCCAUGCUUCUUAGACCUUGUUUUGGAAAAGGACAUGGGGUUCAUCUCCAGAGGACAGAGCGAUGGACACAAAGACACGUUUCCCAACUGUAAAGGAGCACAACAAAAUGGAAGCCAUGAAAUCAAUGCACAGCUAACUACUCAAGUGUCCUGGCGAGGUGGAGGUAUCUAGAAGGAGGAGGAGACAAGGUUUCUCCGUGUAACAGGCCUGGCUUUCCUGGAACUUGCUCUGUAGACCAGACUGGUCUUGAACUCAUGGAGAUCCACCUGCUUCUGCUACCUGAGUGCUGGGAUUAAAGGUGUGCACCACCACCGCCUGGCAAGUAUAAUCAUCUUUAUAACAAAAGGGAAAUAAAACAAUAUGUCUAUCUCAAGAACUCAAGGAAGCCAUUAGGUAACUUAAGAAGCCACCAAAGAGUUUGAAAAAGCCUCAGCUACAGGAUCAGCGCAAAGUUAAAGGUCAGCUUUGGCCUUGAAUUUAACUUUCAGAGCACAGUUCAUUCUUAUGUAAAAAUGGAUGUGGUGAUAUGUGUACAUGAGGGUAUUGUCUAGAUUCGUGAUGUCAUAGGGCACACAGUAGGUUUUGAAUAAAAGGAAGCUGUAGUACCUUUA